rnacentral:misc_RNA from 1 species
AAGUCGUAACAAGGUUUCCGUAGGUGAACCUGCGGAAGGAUCAUUAAAACCCCUGUGAACCUACAGUCCUAUUCUUGUGCGCCCGUUCGGACAGCAAUCCCUAGUAAAUCAUUAGUUUGAUUUAGGGACCUCUGUACGGAAGGACUGCGGUUUGCGUGCAAUUGAGUGGUAGCGCAAGCAUCCUGGUGCCUUCUAGACGGUUAUCGUGUGGAAGUGACGAUAACGCUACCGUGUGUCAGUGACGGUAACCUGUCAACGAGGUGACUCCUAAACACGUUUGCUAGAGGUCCACACGACCGGCAACCGGGAUCCAGGCCGAAAGGUCCCUAACCACCCCUCGCAAGAAUUUAGCGUGCACCUAACGGUCGUACGCACCCCCAAACUGAACAACUGUUAACAAUGGAUAUCUUGGUUCUC